rnacentral:sRNA from 1 species
CCUACUUCCAAUGCUCUGAGCCUGCUGUGAUAACAGACUUACGAUACGGGCUUGGCCAAUUCUUGAAACCACCCGACGGCAUCCUCCUCGCUCGGACUUCACCUACCUUGAUCAAUUGACGCAGGGGCUUAGUUAUUCAUGGCUACAGCUCCUUUUCCUUAUCAUCAUUACAACAGAUCCCUGUCAUUGUUAUCUGAGAGUCCGCCCGUCCAUGUCGUAACUGCCGUGGAUCUCAUUUAGAAAGUUAUUGCUGUGAAUGAUCGCCGCAGACCAUAUUUGUCCAACUUUGGAUGAGAGCCAGCGAUGAUGGUGAUGUCCAAAACUAAAGUUUCAAAGUGCAUGUUCUUCACAAUUCGCAUCAUAUGCGGAGGAAAAUUAUUCUAAUACUUGUAUAGUACAACUCCCAUGAAUGAAGAGCUCGGCGGUAUUUCCUAGCGCACUGUACAACAUCGAUAGCGGAUCGUUCUAAUAUUUAACAUUUAACAUUAUAUUACGUACUUCCAGAAGGGAAAAGAUGUUUCCUGCAUGU